GGAUGUGAGGGCCAUCUGUCUGUGACAUCUGUCACCUCAUUGAUCGCCAUGGUUGAUUCGGCUGGCCCGCUAGGCGGGUGUCCCCUUCCUCCCUCAGGCCUUCCCUAAUAGAUCUUGACCAGUUUUCGGUGGAGCUCCCCUGCUAGAACCUCCAAACAAGUUCUCAAGAACUUGAAUCCAAACAGCUCUGCUUAACUCCACCAACCCCACCCCCCCGCAGGUUUAUGAUGAUGUGGGGGGUCUGAACCUGGGACUUAAGGAACUCAGGCAUGAAAGUUUUGCAUAACCAUUAUACUAUCUCCCACCACCCCUGCUUCACCUCUUAAGGCAGCUUCUGUGCCUGUUGGU
rnacentral:snRNA from 1 species